rnacentral:rRNA from 1 species
UGGGGAAUAUUGCACAAUGGAGGGAACUCUGAUGCAGCGACGCCGCGUGAACGAAGCAGGCUUUCGAGUCGUAAAGUUCUUUUAUAUGGGAAGAUAAUGACGGUACCAUAAGAAAAAGCCCCGGCUAACUACGUGCCAGCAGCCGCGGUAAUACGUAGGGGGCUAGCGUUGUCCGGAAUCACUGGGCGUAAAGGGUUCGCAGGCGGAAAUGCAAGUCAGGUGUAAAAGGCAGUAGCUUAACUACUGUAAGCAUUUGAAACUGCAUAUCUUGAGAAGAGUAGAGGUAAGUGGAAUUUUUAGUGUAGCGGUGAAAUGCGUAGAUAUUAAAAAGAAUACCGGUGGCGAAGGCGACUUACUGGGCUCAUUCUGACGCUGAGGAACGAAAGCGUGGGUAGCAAACAGG